rnacentral:rRNA from 1 species
CCCGCUGAACUUAAGCAUAUCAAUAAGCGGAGGAAAAGAAACCAACCGGGAUUGCCUCAGUAACGGCGAGUGAAGCGGCAAGAGCUCAAAUUUGAAAUCUGGCCUUCUGGUCCGAAUUGUAAUUUGUAGAGGAUGCUUCGAAUAUAGCCUGGGUCUAAGUUCCUUGGAACAGGAUGUCAUAGAGGGUGAGAAUCCCGUAUGCGACUCGGUGUCUAUGUUCAUGUGAAGCUCCUUCAACGAGUCGAGUUGUUUGGGAAUGCAGCUCAAAAUGGGUGGUAAAUUUCAUCUAAAGCUAAAUAUUGGCCAGAGACCGAUAGCGCACAAGUAGAGUGAUCGAAAGAUGAAAAGCACUUUGGAAAGAGAGUUAAACAGUACGUGAAAUUGUUGAAAGGGAAGCGCUUGCAAUCAGACUUGCCUGCGGUUGAUCAUCCGAUGUUCUCACCGGUGCACUCAAUUGCAUACAGGCCAGCAUCGGUUUUGGUGGUUGGAUAAAGUUCUUGGGAAUGUGGCUCCCUUCGGGGAGUGUUAUAGCCCAAGGUGCAAUGCAACCUUCUAGGACCGAGGACCACGCUUCGGCUAGGAUGCUGGCGUAAUGGUUGUAAGCGACCCGUCUUGAAACACGG